AAGAUCAUACUUCAUAGGAUCAUUUCUAUAGUAUGAUUAGCGAGUUCACUCACCGAACUUCGCAAAAUUCCCAACCACGAUGAUGUGAGAAGGGAUCUCUUUCUGAGCGUGAAGGGGACUGUGUAGGAAGUUAUUGCUUUCUAUGAGUCAUUGAUGAUCGCACUCUUUGCUAUUGCAGUAAGGGGAAGGAAGAGAUUCGUUCUGAGUGGU
rfam:Stegodyphus mimosarum contig32449, whole genome shotgun sequence.